AGUUAAGUAACUUGCUUAAGGUUUCCAGCUAGUAAAUGGUGGAGCCUGAAUUUAAACCCUGGUUGGUCUGACCAUUUGUGACCUUAUAUAUAAAGAGAUUUCACAGGGCUUUAUUGAGUAUGUUGGCCAUACCGCAGCUGGCAUGGCCUGUAUCUUGUACAAAGUCUGAGCUUUUUAACCACUGCACUUUGUAUACUGCCCUUUUGACAAGUCACUUCAGCUCUGACUUCAUGUCAAAUGGAGUUAAGACAACUUCCCACUUAUUCAUGAACUCAAGAGGAGCCUAUUGUCCUAUUCAGUAGGGUAACUAUUUGCAUUCUGGAAUAGGUGAUAUUUUCAUCGUGUGGAACUGAAGCAUCACAGCAGGUCUAAGCAUCCCAGACCUCCGGGCACUACAUGCCGGCUGCACAACGCACCCCCUUUGCUGAGAACUAAAGAUGCUCCCAUGGGAAAUGCCAGAUGCCCUCUAGGAGGAUGGGACUGGCCCAAGGCCCUUCUCUGGUCUCAGAAGUAAACACGUGGCUCAACCGAUCCCUGGAUUGUAAAUGAACAAUACAACAAAGGAAGAUGACACCAAACGAGGCUUUGCAGUCCCCAAACCCAGCAGCAACUGAGAAAGGCUUGGUUCCUCGUUAGGGCUCACCCCAAACCCCAAAGGAACUGCUUGAUCCAGAAGACGGAGAAGAUGAGCAACAGAGCAACACUGAGGAUGACAGCCAUCAGGCUUCCCAAGGACCUGACACCCCAGACAGGGCUCAGCGGAUCCCAACCUGGGAACGGGCGCCCCCUGACUGUGCUUUGUGCGUCAUCUGAAUUUGCUUUACUUCCAGCGACAUGAGGGUGGCAGGAACCGGCCCCCAGAAGGUUCAGGGUGUGAGUUGGCCCAGGCACAGUCAGGUGAGUGCCCACGCUUAUCCUGAAGGCUUUCCCCAGGUGAGCUCUGCCGGGAAGACAUUGGCAAAGAGUAGGCUGGGGCUGUUUGUACAAGGAAGUUCCAGGGAGUUUCCAGGAAGGCCUCAAAGGUCUUCUCCAGAUGAUAGGAGAGAAGGCUACUGGGCCAGGGUCCAUCUGCUCUUGUCAUGCUCGGCUGGCAACGGUGGCAAAGGGACACUCUCCCAGGGCUUUCAUAGUGCCUACAUCAGGAAGCCAGAGACCUCCCUCCUCUGGGUCUGCAGACUCUCAUUCUGCUCCCCCUCGGGCCUCCUGCUCUCCCCCUUUCUCUGUGGCCACACUCCCCCCCUCCUCUGUGCCCUCUCUCUAUCUUUACAGCUUCUCUCCCCUCAGGGGAGCUUACUCUUUAACUUUUAGUAUAAUAAAUGUCCAAUAUAGGAAAAUUAGGAAAUGUAGAUGAAUAUAAUAAUUCCUGACACUUAGAAACAGUGGUAGGAACUAUUCUGGGGGCUCCACCUGAAUUUUAUAAUUUAGCCUUGAUGGCAGCUCUGUGGGUAGGUGCCAUCAUCUUCUCCACUUUAUAAAUGAGGGCACUAAGCCACACAGAGGCUAAGUCAUUUGCCCAAGGUCACAGUGGCAGUGUGGGAUUUGAACCAGGUAGCCUGGUGCCAGAGACCUUCAGCCACCAGGCCACACUGCUCCCUAUAAGGAGAAAAUAAACUCACCUGAAAUCCUGUACACAGAGAUAAUCACCCACACAUUAGGAUGUAUAACUUUUCUGUCUCUUUAUAUUUUAAAUAUAGAAAAAUAUAUUUUUCAUAAGUUAUAAAAUGUCAUACUCUAUGUACUGUUUUAUAGCCUCUUUUUUUCACUUAUCAUCUUUCUACACCAUAAAAUAGUCUUCUACAGCCUUUUCUUCAAAAUGAAGGUAGUCUUAUUAUCUUUUGAUUGUAAAAGUGAUAGUAGGAAAAAACAUGUAUUUGCUUGCGUAUGCAUAAAAUGGCUCUAGGAUACACUAGUUGCUGGACAUGCUGGUUACCUGUAGAGGGAGCCCAAGGAAGGCAGACAGGGAUGAAAGGGAGAAUUUUUAUUGUGUAACCUUUGUACUCUUGAUCAUGGCUAUGUAAAUGUAUUAUCUAUUUCAAAAAUAAGUUUAAAAAUGAAACUCAUAUAUCCCUAUUGGAAAAAAACCAAACAAUAUA